UGGUCAGUGAUGUCAAAUUGGAAAGCCA
rnacentral:piRNA from 1 species